rnacentral:rRNA from 1 species
GACGAACGCUGGCGGCGUGCUUAACACAUGCAAGUCGAGCGGUAAGGCCCUUUCGGGGGUACACGAGCGGCGAACGGGUGAGUAACACGUGGGUGACCUGCCCUUAGCUCUGGGAUAAGCCUGGGAAACUGGGUCUAAUACCGGAUAUGACUCCAUGACGCAUGUUGUGGGGUGGAAAGCCUUGUGCGGCUAGGGAUGGGCCCGCGGCCUAUCAGCUUGUUGGUGGGGUGAUGGCCUACCAAGGCGACGACGGGUAGCCGGCCUGAGAGGGCGACCGGCCACACUGGGACUGAGACACGGCCCAGACUCCUACGGGAGGCAGCAGUGGGGAAUCUUGCGCAAUGGGCGAAGCCUGACGCAGCGACGCCGCGUGAGGGAUGACGGCCUCGGUUGUAAC